rnacentral:lncRNA from 10 species
GUUUAUUUGCAAAGACUUAUUGAACGCUUACAGUGUGCCCGGCAUGCCAAGUACCAUGGGAAAGAACAAAUGAAGCUCAGGCCUUGAGCUGCAGUCACGCACAGGUCAAACUAGCAGAGGGGAAAGAGUACGGAACCCAGCAAUGCAUCAGGAGCUUUCGAGAGCUCCGAAUAGCAAAUACUGUGGGAGUUCUGAGGUAACCAGUUUCUUGAAGUUGGUGUUUAUUAUUCCAGUGCAUUUUGAAAAACACUUACUGAAUAUAUGGGACCGUCUAGUUGCAG